UCCUAGGAAAGCUCAGUUGGCAGAGCGUGAGACAGUUAAUCUCAGGGUCGUGGGUGAGAGUCCCACGUUGGGGGAA